GCGGACGUGGCCAAGUGGUUAAGGCAAUGGAUUGUGGCUCCAUUACUGCGCGGGUUCAAGUCCCGUCGUUCGCC
rnacentral:tRNA from 1 species